rnacentral:misc_RNA from 1 species
UAUGCAUCAUUCAUUUUCAUCUAAGUUCAAGUUUUUUACAUAUAAACAUAGUUCUCAAAAAUAAAAUUAUUCCAUAUUCGAUCCAUUUUCAUUUUCAGAGGGAACAAAACGUAACCUGAGAUCGAUCACGAUUCAAGAAUUGCAGCUUCUGGUAGAAAGAAGACUCAUCAUGAUCUUAUGUUUAUUCCUUCGAAGUAGUAUUAUCAAAGUCGCUCUCCUGAUAAAGAAAAUGGUGAUCAGUAGCAGCCACCUGCGGAAAAAACCUCCAAAAAUCCUCAUCUGGUUGUUGUUGUUGUUGGGGUACUGCUGAAGAAGCUGAGGAUGAAGAAGAUGUCAUUGAGAAAGAACGAGAAAGAAAUGGUUCUUGAUUAUAAUUAGGGUGAAGACCUGAAGCUGCAGCAUAUUGUAGAUAGCUGUCAUCAUUGCAAGAAAGCAGUUGUGCAUACUGCAAAAGGUUUGGGAAUGCUUCAUGUGUCAAUGGAGGUGGAAAGGGAUGAUCAGGAGUUGGAAGAUUAUUAAUAUUAGCAAAUGUUGAUGAGGUAGAAACCAUAGCAUUAUUAUUAUUAGGAAGGAGAAGUGGAUUCUGGUAAUUAGCUGCUCUCAAGAAGCUGCUGCCUAGAUUAUUAUCAGAUGAUCCUCCUUGAACACGUUCUGGGAAAUUGAGCUUAGCUUUUGUG